UAUAAUCUCCCACAUGAUUACGCACAAGGACAAUUAAGACCACAGUAUAUUGUGACAUCAUACAUUCGUUAACCAAUGUUUUGACAGCAUCGAUUAUUGAAAAAUCAUCAUAAGUCACAGAAUCUUGCAGGAAUCUACACAGACUAUCCGGAGAAGAUAUCAAAGCUAACGGCAAAAUGAAUAGCUGGUAUGCAGGAACAUUCUUUGUAGUGGCGAUGACCGUGUUCAUUUCACUUAUUGCCAAUGUCGUCUCGUUUGAGGCAAAGACUCAAGGUUUUCAACCAUUCACCAUGAACCGUGCUCAGUUUCAAAAAUGGAAUGAUCGCUAUCAGAAAAGAUUCGGAUUUGGAUAUCCUUCAUCGUACGACGGAUUUAACACUGACAGUCGACAACUUAUGAGCUUAGGUCAACUUUUACAUCGUAUACCCAAAGAAAAAAGAAUGGGAAGAUAUUCAGUAAACAGUCCAUUUGCGUUUGAUCCAUACAGCAAUACUUACCAAAACUGGAGAGAAGUUUUCAGCGGAAUGAAAAGAAUCAAACCAAAGGAAAACUAAUUUUUAAACAAAAUUCACUUUUCUUAAAUAAAUUUCACAUUUGGAAUUUAUUUAGCAUCAACAAAUGUAACUAUAAAACUUUUUAAAGGCAAUCAUAUCUUAUUAAAUACAGUACUCAAUCUUCACGAAUGAUUACAGUUUUGCUUAUGUUUCCGAGCAGUUUGUCAUUAUUUGAAUAGACUAGAACAGUAACCAUUGUUACGUAGUACACGUGAUUAAAAUAUGUAAACCACUUA